AAUAUCCCACAUUUUUGUUGCUCCAACAUUAUAAACCUUAACAUGAGAAGACAUACAUUUGUAUGAACAAAAACUAAAUCUUCGGUCCUCUUUGAAUUGAACAUAUUCCUUUUCAAUGAGUGAAUAAAUUUAAUUGUGCUCCAAUUUCUCUCCACAGAAGAUGAAGAACUUGGUUGUGAAAGAACUUUUUUAUUUCUAAAUAGAAUAAUGAACCUAAGUUUUACUUAGGAAAAAAAGU
rnacentral:lncRNA from 1 species